rnacentral:rRNA from 1 species
UACGGGGGGGGGCAAGCGUUGUUCGGAAUUACUGGGCGUAAAGGGCGCGUAGGCGGCCUUCUAAGUUGGACGUGAAAUCCCUCGGCUUAACCGAGGAACUGCGUCCGAGACUGAAAGGCUUGAAUCCGGGAGAGGGAUGUGGAAUUCCAGGUGUAGCGGUGAAAUGCGUAGAUAUCUGGAGGAACACCGGUGGCGAAGGCGGUUCUCUGGGCCUGUACUGACGCUGAGGAACGAAAGCGUGGGGAGCGAACAGG